rnacentral:tRNA from 1 species
CUCCAGUUAGCCUAGUGGUUAAGGCUAUGGAUUGCCAAUCCGGAGACGGCGGGUUUGAUUCGCGUUCUGGUUG